GGGGGGGGGGGGGGGGGGGGGGGGGGGGGGGGGGGGGGGGGGGGGGGGGGGGGCCCAGUGUCCCCAGUGUCCCCUGUCACUGUAAGAGUUCCUAAUGUCCCCAGUGUCCCCAAUGUCGCCAGUGUCCCCUGUCACUGUCACUGUCCCCACUAUCCCCACUGUCCCCAGUGUCCCCAGUGUCCCCAGUGUCCCCGUCACCAUCACUGUCCCCGCAGGACGCGCUCCAAGCCAAGCGCCACCAGGAGGCGGCGGACCGCGCCUGGCGCAGCCGGGAGCUGUCACUGUCCCCAGUGUCCCCAGUGUCCCCAGUGUCCCCUGUCAGUGUCCCCUGUCAGUGUCCCCAAUGUCCCGCAGGACGCGCUGCAAGCCAGGCGGCUGCAGGAGGCGGGGGGGGGGGGGGGGGGGGGGGGGGGGGGGGGGGGGGGGGGGGGGGGGGGGGGGGGGGGGGGGGGGGGGGGGGGGGGGGGGGGGGGCCGGGAGCUGCAGCGGCAGCGCCGCUCGCAGGAGCUGCUGCAGGAGCUGCAGCGCGGCCGCCAGGAGCAGGUGACAGCGCGGCGGCAGCAGGUGGCACUGGCCCUGCAGCAGGAGCGCCGCGACUUCCUCAGCUCGCUCAGGUGCGCACGGGCACGGGCGGCACCGGGGACAGGUGACAUCGGGAUAUGUGGCACUGGGACAGGUGACAUGGGGACAGGUGGCACAGGGACAGGUGGCACCGGGACAGGUGGAGGGUUGGGGACUCCAGUGUCACCCCAGGGAUUGUGGCAGGAGUGACAAUGUCCUUGUGCCAUCCCGGUGGCUCUGGGGACUCCGGUGACAGCCCAGGAGCUGUGCCAGGAGUGGCAGUGUCACAGUGUCCCUGUGUCCCCAGUGUCACAGUGUGCCAUUGCCAAUGUCCCCGUGCCCCCAGUGUCACAUUGUCCCGGUGUCCCCAUGUCCCCAGUGUGACAGUGACAGUGAUGUCUGCGUGUCCCCGUGUCCCCAGUGUGACAGUGACAGUGUCCCCAGUGUGCCAGUGUGACAGUGAUGUCUGCGUGUCCCCGUGUCCCCAGUGUCACAGUGUCCCCGUGUCCCGGUGUGACAGUGGCGCCGUCCCCGUGUCCCCAGUGUCACAUUGUCCCCGUGUUCCAGUGUCACAUUGUCCCCGUGUCCCCCGUGUCACAUUGUCCCCGUGUCCCCGUCUGACAUUGUCCCCGUGUCCCCGCAGCGUCCUGCAGGAGCAGCUGGCGCGGGAGCAGGGCGGGGGGGGGGGGGGGGGGGGGGGGGGGGGGGGGGGGGGGGGGGGGGGGGGGGGGGGGGGGGGGGGGGGGGGGGGGGGGGGGGGGGGGGGGGGGGGGGGGGGGGGGGGGGGGGGGGGGGGGGGGGGGGGGGGGGGGGGGGGGGGGGGGGGGGGGGGGGGGGGGGGGGGGGGGAGGAGGGGCAGGAGCGGCUGCGGCGGGAGCGGGAGCGCGCGCGGGGCCUGGCGCGGGAGGGACAGCGGCGCCUGCAGCGCCUCCGGUGGGGCACCCGUGACACCUCCGUGACGCCUGUGUGUCACCUGUGUGUCACCUGUGUGUCACCUGUGUCACUGCUGUGCCACCUCUGUGUCACCUUUGUGUUGCUUGCAUCACCUCUGUGUCACCUGUGUCACCUCUGUGCCGCCUCUGUGUCACCUUUGUGUCACCGCUGGUGUCACCUGUGUCACCUCUGUGUCACCUGUGUCACCUCUGUGCCGCCUCUGUGUCACCUUUGUGUCACCGCUGGUGUCACCUGUGUCACCUCUGUGUCACCUGUGUCACCUCUGUGCCGCCUCUGUGUCACCUUUGUGUCACCGCUGGUGUCACCUGUGUCACCUCUGUGUCACCUGUGUCACCUCUGUGCUGCUGUGCCACCUCUGUGUCACCUUUGUGUUGCUUGCAUCACCUCUGUGUCACCUGUGUCAC
rnacentral:lncRNA from 12 species